rnacentral:rRNA from 1 species
AGAACCUGAAACCGUGUACGUACAAGCAGUGGGAGCACGCUUAGGCGUGUGACUGCGUACCUUUUGUAUAAUGGGUCAGCGACUUAUAUUCUGUAGCAAGGUUAACCGAAUAGGGGAGCCGAAGGGAAACCGAGUCUUAACUGGGCGUUAAGUUGCAGGGUAUAGACCCGAAACCCGGUGAUCUAGCCAUGGGCAGGUUGAAGGUUGGGUAACACUAACUGGAGGACCGAACCGACUAAUGUUGAAAAAUUAGCGGAUGACUUGUGGCUGGGGGUGAAAGGCCAAUCAAACCGGGAGAUAGCUGGUUCUCCCCGAAAGCUAUUUAGGUAGCGCCUCGUGAAUUCAUCUCCGGGGGUAGAGCACUGUUUCGGCAAGGGGGUCAUCCCGACUUACCAACCCGAUGCAAACUGCGAAUACCGGAGAAUGUUAUCACGGGAGACACACGGCGGGUGCUAACGUCCGUCGUGAAGAGGGAAACAACCCAGACCGCCAGCUAAGGUCCCAAAGUCAUGGUUAAGUGGGAAACGAUGUGGGAAGGCCCAGACAGCCAGGAUGUUGGCUUAGAAGCAGCCAUCAUUUAAAGAAAGCGUAAUAGCUCACUGGUCGAGUCGGCCUGCGCGGAAGAUGUAACGGGGCUAAACCAUGCACCGAAGCUGCGGCAGCGACGCUUAUGCGUUGUUGGGUAGGGGAGCGUUCUGUAAGCCUGCGAAGGUGUGCUGUGAGGCAUGCUGGAGGUAUCAGAAGUGCGAAUGCUGACAUAAGUAACGAUAAAGCGGGUGAAAAGCCCGCUCGCCGGAAGACCAAGGGUUCCUGUCCAACGUUAAUCGGGGCAGGGUGAGUCGACCCCUAAGGCGAGGCCGAAAGGCGUAGUCGAUGGGAAACAGGUUAAUAUUCCUGUACUUGGUGUUACUGCGAAGGGGGGACGGAGAAGGCUAUGUUGGCCGGGCGACGGUUGUCCCGGUUUAAGCGUGUAGGCUGGUUUUCCAGGCAAAUCCGGAAAAUCAAGGCUGAGGCGUGAUGACGAGGCACUACGGUGCUGAAGCAACAAAUGCCAUGCUUCCAGGAAAAGCCUCUAAGCAUCAGGUAACAUCAAAUCGUACCCCAAACCGACACAGGUGGUCAGGUAGAGAAUACCAAGGCGCUUGAGAGAACUCGGGUGAAGGAACUAGGCAAAAUGGUGCCGUAACUUCGGGAGAAGGCACGCUGAUAUGUAGGUGAAGCGACUUGCUCGUGGAGCUGAAAUCAGUCGAAGAUACCAGCUGGCUGCAACUGUUUAUUAAAAACACAGCACUGUGCAAACACGAAAGUGGACGUAUACGGUGUGACGCCUGCCCGGUGCCGGAAGGUUAAUUGAUGGGGUCAGCGCAAGCGAAGCUCUUGAUCGAAGCCCCGGUAAACGGCGGCCGUAACUAUAACGGUCCUAAGGUAGCGAAAUUCCUUGUCGGGUAAGUUCCGACCUGCACGAAUGGCGUAAUGAUGGCCAGGCUGUCUCCACCCGAGACUCAGUGAAAUUGAACUCGCUGUGAAGAUGCAGUGUACCCGCGGCAAGACGGAAAGACCCCGUGAACCUUUACUAUAGCUUGACACUGAACAUUGAGCCUUGAUGUGUAGGAUAGGUGGGAGGCUUUGAAGUGUGGACGCCAGUCUGCAUGGAGCCGACCUUGAAAUACCACCCUUUAAUGUUUGAUGUUCUAACGUUGACCCGUAAUCCGGGUUGCGGACAGUGUCUGGUGGGUAGUUUGACUGGGGCGGUCUCCUCCUAAAGAGUAACGGAGGAGCACGAAGGUUGGCUAAUCCUGGUCGGACAUCAGGAGGUUAGUGCAAUGGCAUAAGCCAGCUUGACUGCGAGCGUGACGGCGCGAGCAGGUGCGAAAGCAGGUCAUAGUGAUCCGGUGGUUCUGAAUGGAAGGGCCAUCGCUCAACGGAUAAAAGGUACUCCGGGGAUAACAGGCUGAUACCGCCCAAGAGUUCAUAUCGACGGCGGUGUUUGGCACCUCGAUGUCGGCUCAUCACAUCCUGGGGCUGAAGUAGGUCCCAAGGGUAUGGCUGUUCGCCAUUUAAAGUGGUACGCGAGCUGGGUUUAGAACGUCGUGAGACAGUUCGGUCCCUAUCUGCCGUGGGCGCUGGAGAACUGAGGGGGGCUGCUCCUAGUACGAGAGGACCGGAGUGGACGCAUCACUGGUGUUCGGGUUGUCAUGCCAAUGGCACUGCCCGGUAGCUAAAUGCGGAAGAGAUAAGUGCUGAAAGCAUCUAAGCACGAAACUUGCCCCGAGAUGAGUUCUCCCUGACUCCUUGAGAGUCCUGAAGGAACGUUGAAGACGACGACGUUGAU